AAUGGAAUGCCUGAUUAAAGGAUUAUUUUGAUAGAAUAAAUCAUGUAAAUUUUUACUUUCAUUA
rnacentral:tRNA from 1 species